AUUGAACGCUGGCGGCAGGCUUAACACAUGCAAGUCGAGCGGGGGAAGGUAGCUUGCUACCGGACCUAGCGGCGGACGGGUGAGUAAUGCUUAGGAAUCUGCCUAUUAGUGGGGGACAACAUCUCGAAAGGGAUGCUAAUACCGCAUCCGUCCUACGGGAGAAAGCAGGGGAUCUUCGUACCUUGCGCUAAUAGAUGAGCCUAAGUCGGAUUAGCUAGUUGGUGGGGUAAAGGCCUACCAAGGCGACGAUCUGUAGCGGGUCUGAGAGGAUGAUCCGCCACACUGGGACUGAGACACGGCCCAGACUCCUACGGGAGGCAGCAGUGGGGAAUAUUGGACAAUGGGGGGAACCCUGAUCCAGCCAUGCCGCGUGUGUGAAGAAGGCCUUAUGGUUGUAAAGCACUUUAAGCGAGGAGGAGGCUACUCUAGUUAAUACCUAGGGAUAGUGGACGUUACUCGCAGAAUAAGCACCGGCUAACUCUGUGCCAGCCGCCGCCGUAA
rnacentral:rRNA from 1 species